CUAAUUUUAGAAGCUGUCUUUCCCCCUCAGAAAACCUGCUUAGUAGUGACUCCUCUGUUCUCCCCAAGCCCCCCACGCCACUGGUCCUAGGCAGCCCUAAUCUACUUCCUCUUUCUGUACUACACUGCCUUUCUUUAUUAACCGGUUCUUCAAAUGACGAUUUCACGUUGAUGAGGUUGCCCUGUCUAGGAAGCCAGGCUCUUUCAUUUCUUUCUGCCCCUCUCCUUUUCCUUCCUUCAGCACCAAGGAGAAUGGUCCAGCAGCAGCUGGGUCCGUGCUUGUCAAACGCCCAGCUCCAUACCCUCCAGCCCGGUCCACAUUUCCCAAAGCCCCUGGUGAGAUUCCUGAGCAGCACCAAUGCACUGACCGUCACUCUGUGUUCUCUUAGGUCCCGUUGAGGUCCCGCAGGACCUCAUAUUAGAAGACAUCGAGGAUGAGGAGCUACCCCGUGACGAGGAGAAGCCCGCCGUUUCGUGUCACCGCCGUCCCGUUGAGGUCCUGCAGGACCUCAUAUUAGAAGACAUCGAGGAUGAGGAGCUACCCCGUGACGAGGAGAAGCCCGCCGUUUCGUGUCACCGCCGUCCUCUUGAAAUCAUCUUAGAGGAUGACGAGGAUGAGGACC